rnacentral:lncRNA from 1 species
GCCUUCCAGACCGCUGGUAGUGGACUUGAGGCUGUCGGGAAGGAGGGGUGUGGCCUAGACCACUAAGGGCCGUGACGUGGUGCCGCUGAGCUUGGACCCCGACCAGAAGAUAGAGAUUGAAACGAUGAGGAAAACGAAGUGCCUAAUCCCCGCUGGACGCUAACUGCAGGCACCCAGAAAUACUCUCCACACCAUGCUGCACUGCUGCGGAUGAGGGAAGGAUGGUGUCGGGGCUUCAAGACUGUUUUUCCUACCUCUUCAGUGCCUCUUUCAGUGAUAUGAAGUUAAAACCAGG